rnacentral:rRNA from 1 species
AGACGGGGGGUGCUAGCGUUGUUCGGAAUUACUGGGCGUAAAGGGCGCGUAGGCGGCUCUGCGAGUCGGGCGUGAAAUCCCGGGGCCCAACCCCGGAACGGCGCUCGAUACUGCGGGGCUGGAGACCGGAAGAGGAGGGUGGAAUUCCCAGUGUAGAGGUGAAAUUCGUAGAUAUUGGGAGGAACACCGGUGGCGAAAGCGGCUCUCUGGUCCGGUUCUGACGCUGAGGCGCGAAAGCGUGGGGAGCAAACAGGAUUAGAUACCCCAGUAGUCC